CCUACGGGUGACAGCAGUGAGGAAUAUUGGUCAAUGGACGAGAGUCUGAACCAGCCAAGUAGCGUGAAGGAUGACUGCCCUAUGGGUUGUAAACUUCUUUUAUAAAGGAAUAAAACGAGGCACGUGUGCCUUUUUGCAUGUACUUUAUGAAUAAGGAUCGGCUAACUCCGUGCCAGCAGCCGCGGUAAUACGGAGGAUCCGAGCGUUAUCCGGAUUGAUUGGGUUUAAGGGGAGCGUAGAUGGGUUGUUAAGUCAGUUGUGAAAGUUUGCGGCUCAACUGUAAUAUUGCAAUUGAUACUGGCAGUCUUGAGUACAGUUGAGGUAGGCGGAAUUCGUGGUGUAGCGGUGAAAUGCUUAGAUAUCACGAAGAACCUCGAUUGCGAAGGCAGCUUACUAAACUGUGACUGACAUUGAGGCUCGAAAGUGUGGGUAUCAAACAGGAUUAGAUACCCCAGUAGUC
rnacentral:rRNA from 1 species